rnacentral:rRNA from 1 species
AGGACGAACGCUGGCGGCGCGCCUAACACAUGCAAGUCGAACGAGCAAAGAGGAGCUUGCUUCUCUGAGCGAGUGGCGAACGGGUGAGUAACGCGUGAGGAACCUGCCUCAAAGAGGGGGACAACAGUUGGAAACGACUGCUAAUACCGCAUAAGCCCACAGCUCGGCAUCGAGCAGAGGGAAAAGGAGCAAUCCGCUUUGAGAUGGCCUCGCGUCCGAUUAGCUAGUUGGUGAGGUAACGGCCCACCAAGGCGACGAUCGGUAGCCGGACUGAGAGGUUGAACGGCCACAUUGGGACUGAGACACGGCCCAGACUCCUACGGGAGGCAGCAGUGGGGAAUAUUGCACAAUGGGGGAAACCCUGAUGCAGCGACGCCGCGUGGAGGAAGAAGGUCUUCGGAUUGUAAACUCCUGCUGUUGAGGAAGAUAAUGACGGUACUCAACAAGGAAGUGACGGCUAACUACGUG